rnacentral:lncRNA from 1 species
UUGGUUCACUUCCUAACUUGAUUCUUUGAUCCUUGUAUGGGAUAUUCUGGAUGUGGUGAAGUAUGCAUGAAGGUUGUGAGUGAUCAAUAAGGGAUCAGUCACUCCUAAUAAGGAGAGCGAAUAUUCUAUGUGAUCUCAUAGAUCGAUGAUUCUGAAAGUCCUUGGCCAAAGCAGGAUGAUAAUUAGAAAAAGAUUUUUAAUAUAUCAUCAACUGAAUC